rnacentral:rRNA from 1 species
UACAGAGGGUGCAAGCGUUGUUCGGAAUUAUGGGCGUAAAGCGCGUGUAGGCGGCUUUGGCAAGUCGGGUGUGAAAGCCCUCAGCUCAACUGAGGAAGUGCGCCCGAAACUGCUGAGCUUGAGUGCCGGAGAGGGUGGCGGAAUUCCCCAAGUAGAGGUGAAAUUCGUAGAUAUGGGGAGGAACACCGGUGGCGAAGGCGGCCACCUGGACGGUAACUGACGCUGAGACGCGAAAGCGUGGGGAGCAAACAGG